GAUGAACGCUGGCGGCGUGCCUAAUACAUGCAAGUCGAGCGAACGGACGCGAAGCUUGCGUCUUUGACGUUAGCGGAGGGCGUGUGUAUAACACGUGUAUCACCUCCCUAUCAGACUGGUAUAACUUCGGGAAACCGGCGCUAAUACCGGAUAAUCUUUUGAACCGCAUGGUUCAAUAGUAAAAGACGGUCGUUCUGUCACUUAUAGAUGCAUACGAGCUGCAUUAGCUAGUUGUUAAGGUCACAGCCUACCACGGCAACUAUGCAUAGCCGACCUACGGGGGUGAUAGGCCACCAUGGAAGGGAGACACGGUCCAGACGCCUAAGGGAGGCAGCAGUAGGGUAUCGGACGCAAUGGGCGAAAGCAUGACGGAGCGACGCGGAGUGAGUGAUGAAGGUGUUCGGAUCGUAAAACUCUGUUAUUAGGUAAGAACAGAUGUCUAAGUAGAUGUGGACAUAUUGACGGUAACUAAUAAGAAAGCAACGGCUAACUACGUG
rnacentral:rRNA from 1 species